rnacentral:rRNA from 1 species
AAUAGAUACCCGGGUAGUCCACGCCGUAAACGAUGGAUACUAGCUGUUUGAGCGCAAGUUUGAGUGGCUAAGCGAAAGUGAUAAGUAUCCCACCUGGGGAGUACGGGCGCAAGCCUGAAACUCAAAGGAAUUGACGGGGGCCCGCACAAGCGGUGGAGCAUGUGGUUUAAUUCGAUGAUACGCGAGGAACCUUACCAGGGCUUAAAUGUAGAUUGACGUAUUUGGAAACAGAUAUUUCUUCGGACAAUUUACAAGGUGCUGCAUGGUUGUCGUCAGCUCGUGCCGUGAGGUGUCAGGUUAAGUCCUAUAACGAGCGCAACCCCUGUUGUUAGUUGCCAGCGAGUAAUGUCGGGAACUCUAGCAAGACUGCCAGUGUAAACUGUGAGGAAGGUGGGGAUGACGUCAAAUCAUCACGGCCCCUUAGUCCCUGGGGCCACACACGUGCUACAAUGGCCGGUACAGAGAGCAGCCACUUAGCGAUAAGGAGCGAAUCUAUAAAGCCGGUCACAGUUCGGAUCGGAGUCUGCAAC